rnacentral:sRNA from 24 species
UACAAGGUGGUAACUGGUAGAGAACGUGAAGGAUAACGUUGCUUUAGCAACGGCCCGAAGGGCGAGGCGAAGCCGAGUCAUCCUGCACGACCCACCA